rnacentral:lncRNA from 1 species
UAUAUUUUCCUUAACGGGUAACAGGUCGGGUCAUAUUACCUGUUAAUAUUAUCGGGUGGAUUUCGGGUCAGGUCAUUUUACCUGUUUAUUUUAACAGGUGUUACACGACACGACCCGUUAAGAUAUCGGGUAUGACACAAAAACGACACAAACACGGAAAAACGACACGAAUGCCAGGUCUAAUCAAAAGGAUGUAAAAAUAACAUUUUUAAAUGGAGAACUAGAUGAAGAAAUAUACAUGGAACAACCUGAAGGGUUUGUGCUCAAGGGACAAGAAAGCAAAGUGUGCAAAUUAGUUAAGUCAUUAUAUGGACUUAAACAAGCACCAAAACAAUGGCACGAGAAAUUUGAUCAUACUUUGUUGACACAUGGGUUCAAAAUAAAUGAAUUUGAUAAAUGUGUAUACAUUAAGAGUAAUGAUAAAACUUGUGUUAUUGUCUGCUUGUAUGUGGAUGAUAUGCUCAUAAUGGGAAGCGAUAAAGAUGUAAUAAACAAAACAAAGAAAAUGUUGAAUUCAAGUUUUGACAUGAAAGACUUAGGUCGAGCCGAUGUCAUUUUAGGAAUUCAAAUUAAGAGAAAUAGUGAAGGGUAUGUCCUUACACAAUCCCAUUAUGCAGAAAAAAUAUUACAAAGGUUUGGUCAAUUUGACUGCAAACCUGCUGCAACUCCUUUUGAUGCUGGAUGCAAGUUAGAGAAAAAAAAAGGUGAUGCCAUAUCUCAACUUGAAUUUUCUCAAGUAAUUGGAAGUCUAAUGUACUUGAUGAAUUCAACUAGGCCCGACUUAGCUUAUGCAGUAAGUAGGCUUAGUAGAUAUACAAGUAAUCUAACACAAGAGCAUUGAUAUGCUUUAGUAAGAGUGUUAAGGUAUUUGAAAAAUACACUUGACUAUGGAUUACACUACACAAAAUAUCCACCUGUUGUAGAAGGCUUCAGUGAUGCCAAUUGGAUUUCUAACACUACAGAAUCCAAGUUGACAAGUGGAUAUGUUUUUACCUUGGAAGGUGCAGCAAUAUCUUGGAAAUCCUCUCAACAGAAAUGUAUAGCUCGGUCCACCAUGGAGUCCGAGUUUAUAGCUUUAGAAGUUGCUCUCCAAUGGAAUAAUAUCCAUUGAUUAUGUGAAGUCAAAGGAAAAUAUAGCUAAUCCUUUGACAAAAGGCCUACCAAGAGAGCAAAUAUUAUUUACAUCGAGGGGAAUGGGUCUCAAGCCAAUUCAAUGAAUCAAACUGGUCUAAAACCUAACCUAAUUGAUUGGAGAUCCCAUGAUCUAGGUUCAAUAGGCAAAUUGGUUGACUUUGAUUCAAAAGUUGAACACACAACUUACCCAUUCUUAUGAUAAUAUGUGUGUUGUUUGUUGAAGUUUGAGGCGUCAUGUUUUAUACAUUUAAUGACAUUAAUAUCUUGUUAUCAAGAGGAAUAUGGCAUACUAUUCUUAAUUAAUGUCACAUAUAUAGGAGUAAAUGGGGCCGCAUUUAUGAGAAUUAACAUGGCUAAAUUCUCUAAAGCUCCUACGAAAUCCGGAAUCUAUUCAGGAUCGAAAUGAACAUAACCGUAUGAAUUGACGUGUGGCAUACAUGAUAUGUGUGUAGCAUAUUGUCUCAGUUUACUAUUGCAGUGAACAAUUCAAGAUCUUCCACAUCCACUGCGUCACCAAGUAAACCCGAUAUGUUUUUACCAGGGUAAGUUCAAGUCCAAAAGACACUUCACCCGAUGCAUAUCAUGCCUAUUCUCUCUCAGUUUUAGGCAGCCUAGUCAUACAUUUGCAUUUACAUUUAUAUUCAAAUGUGGGGUAAUUGUUGGAGUUUGGAGUUUGAAUGAAAUUUCAACUCAAAUGUGGGGUAUUGUUGGAAAUUUAAGUAGUUUAAGUAGAAAUUUCUUUAUCCCGCAUUGGCCAUUCCCAAAAAAUUUCAUCACUUUAUAAGGCUUUGUCCUUUAUAGAAAGUAAUUUGAGUACUAGGCCUUGGAGAAUAAAAUUGGGCUCACCUUUGGGAUUGAGCUUUGGGGUGCAAUAAUUAAUAUAUAAUUAAUUAUAAUUAAUAUAUAUAUAUAUAUAUAAUUAAUAUAUAAUUAAUUAUCACUCUUGGGCUCUGAAAAUUAAAUUCUUUAAUUAAUUAUUUUUAAUUAAUUUCGAAUUUAAUUUAAUUAAUUUUUAUUUGAACAGGCUCAUCUUUUCAGAUGAAGUUUGAAGUCAAUAAAAAACGUAGAGAGCACUGCACCCCAUUUGAAGAGAUGUCUCCCAACAGUCACAUCUCAUUCUUAUACAUGUUGCGAACAGGCAUAAUCCCACUAUAUAUACAUCCGUCUGCAUGACAUUUAUAACACAGAAAAACAUAAAUCUCCUUCUAUAAUCCAUAUCAUUCUUACUGAGAGUACCACAAGGAAAUUCGCCAGAAGUUAAGUUUUCCAGUGCUGGAAUUCUAACUUGAUCGUUGAAUCCUGGUGAAACAGACAUUCAGAGAACUACAAGCACUGAGUAGGGGCAAAAUUUCUGUUUCAAGGACAUUGUGGUACGUAAGCCUCGAUGUUCAAUAUUUCUGUUUAAUUCAUUGUUCAUACACUGUUUAUUUAUUAGCAUAUAUAAAUUUAUCACAGAUUGUUGGCAUAUAUCCAACACAAUACACAUAGUUAGAGGUCUACCUCAUUUGUAGCUACUGUCAAAUAUUGUCCCAUCAGCGAAUCUUGUCGUGUAGUGAAUUUGCGUUCAUGAAGACAAACUACUGUAUUAUUUGUGUUUGAUAAACAUAUCUUGUAAAAACUUCAUUUUUAGAAAAUGGAGAAAUGAUCGGUACUAAAUUAAGAUUGUUUAUCAAUUCAUUCAGUGAUGUAAAUCGUGGUAUAUGCCAUUUUUGGUCAUCCAUUUUCUAAAUGUGUGCUGCCUAGUUCUGUUUAGUUCGUGCCGGCCUACUCACAAGGGAGAAUGUUGGCCAGCAUUUGAAGUUGAGCGUUAUUACAUUCCUCAAGCUUCUCUCUUAACAAUUUAAGUUUUGGGAACAAACAUUUAAUUAACAGACCAAGAAAACGGAAUCAUUAUUGGUUUGAAUUGAUCGAAAUGGAUGCUGCUUGUAUAUUUGAUAUUUUGGUGCGAGUGAGUUGGAAUUCCUAUGUCUGCCACGUAACUUGGAGAGAAUAUCUCCCCUGGUAGGUGAUGUGACAUCCCACAUCAUCCAGGAGAGUGAUCCUUAAAUGUAUAUUCUCAUCAUUACCUAGCACGAGGCUUUUGGGAGCUCACUGGUUUCGGAUUCCGUUGGAAACUCCGAAGUUAAGCGAGAAGGAGGCCAGAGCACUCCUAGGAUGGGUGACUCACUGGGAAGUUGUUCGUGAGUUUCCAGAAACAAAACCGUGAGGGCGUGAUCAGGGCCUAAAGCGGACAAUAUCGUGUUACGGUGGAGCGGGCUUGGGAAGUGGUCCGUCUCGGGUCGGGAUGUGAUAGGUGAGGUGAGAAUAAGUUGUAUUACAAAUUUGUUGGGAGAGAAUUUCAAUUCAACUUCUUCACCAGCGGGAAAAAUCGUGAGUAUAACCUCAUGCUUGGAAAUUUUAUUCUCAACUAAAUGGAUCGUACUUGAUAUCCACUUUCUGGUUUAACAAAUGUUUUGGGUCAAUUAGACUCUUGACCAUUCAAUUUGGUAAGCCAUUGGCCCAAAACCAAAAGGACCUCAAUGGUCACUAUAUUAAAACACAAUCGACUUCACCUUCUUUCCCAAUGUUUUAAUCACACCCAUAUACAGGAAGCCUAUAAGCAAAGUGAUCCCUAUUAUUUUUUUUAUAAAAAUAGGUGUGAAGCCAAAAAUAAUCACAAGGCGACACGUAGAUCUUUGGAUAAAAAAGGACAAGAAUACCUUUGAUGCAUAUUGACAUUCCUACGCGCGAGUAGCAGACAAUCAUCUUUCAACCAAGUCAAAAGUGCCCAAAAUAGGUAACAAUUUAAAGCCUAUUUCAUCAAAUCCUUUCUAUAAGGUUAUUCCCAAAACCUAAUUUAUUUAAUAUGUUUUAUAUUCCAUUAUUUAGCUAAUCAAUAAACUAAAUAAUAUAUUCCUUUCAAAUUUCCUAAAAAUUGACUAAUUAAGGGAUUAAUUACCUAAUCAAUCCCUUAAUUAUCAAAUUGAAACACCCAUUCAAAUCUAAAAGUCACUAGAGGGCCGGCUAUCCCCAUUUCAAAACCUAAUCCAUCACUUUUUUUCUACCUUUUUCACCAUUUCUUCCUUUUUAUUAGCCAAUAAAUUCCAUAACCACCAAAACAUUUCCUUUUAUGUUUAAUUAGCCAAUUAAUUGCCUAAUUAAACCAAAACAAAACCUAAAAACCCUACUAAGUGGCCGGCCACAUUCAUCUCUAAAGUGAACCAACCUAGCCCUAUAAAUAGGCUCCUAUUUUCACCAAAUAUUCAUUCCAACACUUUGGCAAAAAUCCCAAAAUUCUCUAAACACUCUUUCUCUCUAAAUUCUAACUUUGGCAUCGGAGGUUCUUCGGCCAAAGCCCCCCCCAUUCAUCGUGGGCGCGUGAGGCUCUUGGCCUUAAUCUAAGGUGCUAAUUGUUUUGUAGGUGCAAAAUUGUCCAAGAUCAAGGAGGAAGAAAUUUGUAUCCACAAAUUGGUGCUUUCAUUGAGAGUUGAAAUUUAUACUCGUAGAAGACUCUCGCACAAAAAGGUUUUUUCUUUAUUUUUUAGUCCAUUUGAAUAUUUUUCAUACGUUCGUAUUAUUAGAAUUUUUUACUUGCAAAGGUUCUUUGAUAAAACGUAUAAGCAAAAUAUAAUGGCUAGAAAUUUAUAAAAUUUCAUAAGUGAAAAUUCUAAUGUUCAAGAAAUGGGAUUGCGGAGAUCCGUGAGGCUAAAUGCGACAAUAAGUGGAGCAGCACCACCACCACGAGUUUCCACCACGGGAAAGUAGCCACCCGUGGUGAGGUCCAUGGUGCCUUCAUCACGGCUCGAGCUGUGCCAUCCAAGGCUCACGGCACCAAGGCCACAGCCCAAGCUGUGCCAUCCAAGCUUGCAUGCGUCCGAGCCCAAGCCUCGCAUUCGCAUGCAUCACGCGCUGAGCAGCCCACUCUCGUGGUCCAGCCUGCUCCCGACAAGCAGCCCACUCUCGCGGCCCAGCCUGCUCUCAUGGCCCAGCCUGUUCCCGACGAGCAGCCUACUCCCGUGGUUCAGCCUGCUCCCGCCGAGCAACCUGCUCUCGUGGCCCAACCUGCUCCCGACGAGCAGCCUACUCUCGCAGUCCAGCUUGCUCUUGUGGACCAGCUUGCUCCUGCGGCCCAGUCUGCUCCAGUGGCUUUCCAAGCAGCCCAAGUUGGCCCAAGACUAUAUCAACCAUCCGGACCUACCAUCGAGCCGGGGGCAUUCUCACCACAUUUUUUCGUGGAUUUGACAUUUCCCAACUCAAAUCUCUCGCCCGGAGUCUACCACCCUUCCACUGCUCAAGGAAGCGUAUUCCUUCUAAGCUUUUCCAAUCCAAAUGGCGAACAACACUUGUCUUGACAAGUCAUAAAGUUGACGAGCGCCCUUGCACAACAGACAACCUUGGUGAAUCAACUUUUGCAAGCAUCAGGAUCCAACGUGCCCCGGACGAGGUAUCCCGAAGUAGGACAAGGGUAGACGAACCUUUCCAGCAGUGUCUCGGCAAGCAGCCACUAGCUGAGCGUUCGGGCAGUGUACAUUCCUAAUUGGGCCCCUGAGAUAGCGUAUACUCCCAUCUUAGAGCGCGGAUGAGCGUGCACUCUCGAAUAGGCCCACGGAUGAGCAUACAUUCAUGGUUGGGGUCACACUCUGAUAGUCAACAUGUGCAACCUUCUGGGCAAAGUGUUCAUUGGUGGCUAAGCCUAAAAGGAGCAUCCUCCACCUCACAUCGGAGUAGGCAGCACGACGGACGGAGAGAAGCAGUUACUCAAUCCAGCUCAAGUUCAACCAGCAGCUUGCGAAGAACUCGCUCGCCUGCUAGGAACGUACCACAUGCACUGUAUCCGCGGUAUAGAUAAGCCAAACACAUGGAAGAGCAGCCUAGACCAACAAGUCAUGGCUCGGGGCAGCCGAAAGCUCCGCUACCCCAACAAAGGCAAAUUCAAGAAAAAGUAGAGAGAUUCUUGACCAAGCGAUUGCACGAUUUCCAAUGCAACGAGGUCACUGACGAGGCACUACGAUGGAACAUGACCAACAUAAGCAGGUCACCCUUCACAAACGAGAUCGAGCAGGCAGAGCCUCCACGCGAGUUCAGCAUGCCACAUUUCACAUCUUUCAAAGGGGAUGAAGACCCGGAGAGACACUUAAAGCCCUACCGAAGCGCAAUGAUCCUUUAUCGAAACAACGAUAAUCUCAUGUGCAAGAUAUUCGCCACCACUCUACAAGGCGAGGCCCAAAAUUUGUUUUACACCUUGCCGCCACAAUCCAUCAGGAAUUUCUACGAACUUUCUUUGGUUUUCACCAAAGAAUAUUAAUCCUAUUGCUCGAUAAAAAAGAAGUCUGACCAUUUAUUCGACGUCAAGAAGAACCCAAAGGAAUCGCUUCGCGACUAUGUGAAGAGGUUUAAAGUAGAGAAGGCAAAAAUAGUCGGAUGCAACGACUCGAUAGCUAAAGCAGCCUUCCAAAAAGGACUUCCAGCAGACCACCCAUUGUUCGGAAAACUGAUAAUGAAAGAAGAUCUAACUCUGGCAGACUCUUUCGCUCUGGCAGAGAAGCAUGCACUUUGGGACGAAGUUCACUGAUGCCCAUUUAAGGGAUCUAAGCAAUCUUGAAUAUGAAGUUCCCCACUACUCUGAAGGAGAUUCAAAGUCUGACUAGACGAGUAGUCGCAUCUAAAGCAGAAAUAAGCUUUACCAUCAUACGAGAAGAGCUGGGGGCCCAACUACCUGUAUUCCAUAAUUUAAAAGCUUUCAUCGAUGCUAUCAGUUGUAUUCCACAGUUUAAAAGCUCUCAUUGAUGUUAUCAGAAAUUCAAAAGCUAACUUUGGCGAUAGUUGUUGUAACCUAAAAGCUCAAGUUUUACCCUCAAAUGCACGUAGUCAUCAUCAUGAUGCACUAUUCCACCGAAUCCUGACGAACGCAACAACUAGGCCCAAAAGACACGCCAAGGGUAGACGAACACUGGAAGGAACAUUCAAAAGCAAGUUUUAUCCUCGUCACCCCAGAAGAUUCAACAUAAAAGCAACAUGUACCGGCAGUUGAUCACUACCUUCUGCUACACGUCAUACGACCAUAGCCAACCUUUGCUCCAUUAUUCAGCUCUAGAGUGGCCUAAUACCAGAAAUUGAGCAUUUCCUGCUACAUGUGACAUGGCCUCAGCCCCACGGCUCCCUACCGUGCCUUCACACCUAGCCUUGACAACUCAAUAGAGUGACUCAACGGCUCCCCGAAGGCAGCCGAGCACACUUUAGCUGCACCUGCUCCCUCAAUGGAGAUUUCUGACAUUUGCAUGUCGAUAACGUAAUACCUAGAGAAAGUAUACAAGCAGCUUGAGGCAUUUUAGACUUAAACUCUCACUCAAGUUCCCCGGGCAGACAACGCUCAAGCAGACAUACUAGCCGGCCUAGGCUUCGCACUCGAUCACCAACUCAAAACGCUCUAUUCUGGUGGAAUAUCUUGACAAGCCAAACAUAGAGAUGGAGCCAACAGCCUAAGUGUCAUAGCAUUCUCAUCCAAAGAUCCCACACCGGAUCACAUAUCCGCUGCUUAGCGCCUCCUAACGACUUGAAAGUUCUAAGAUCAAAUCCACGAAGGUGUAUGUGGAAAUCACUCUAGAGGCCAAUCCUUAGCAUAGAAAGCUCUUAACACAGGCUACUAUUGGCCUACCAUGCACCAAGAUGCUAAGGAGUUAGUACAAAAUUGCCUUAAGAAUAUGGCAUCUAGCAGCACAUGUCCACGCCGAGAUAUCCUCAAGGCAAUGGGCGGGCCGAAGUAUCCAACAAGACGAUCUUCGACUGCCUCAAGAAAUCCCUCACCAACAAGAAGGGAAAAUGGCUAAACGAACUCUUUGGAUGUCUAUGGGCAUAUCGUACCACCAAAAGAUGAACAACCGAACGGUGAGGAGAUGGCCAUAAGUUUAGAUCUAGCAGAGGAGAAGCGUGAGCAGACCAUCACUUGAAUAGUAGCUUACCAGCAUCAACUCCUCCCCAGCUACAACAAAACCGGAAAACUCAAGAAGCUCGACGGGCACCACCUCACAAGCCGAGGACUAUCCAGUUGUUAUGUAGUUCUUACCUUACAGCUAAGUUCUUGUUCGUUUCACUCGUUUUUUUAAUGAAGAAUUCAGAAGUAAUCAUAACUUGGCUCGGUUGCAUGCUUACAACAACUGAUCACUCCUACACUUCAAAAGAAGACUGCGCCCUACUUAGGGACUCAUCGCAGGAAUUGCACCCUCCGAGAGACCAACCAUGCUCUCCAAUGUGAGAGGGUAAACUAAUUGCUCUCCAGUGGGAGAGGGUAAACCAAUUCCCCGACACCCAUAUGGGUCAGCUCUUCAAAACAGGAGGAUAACUUUACACUCCGAAUAUCUAGACGUGGAUGAGCCUGGCUACCCUAGUAUAACUAGAUGCACGAUGGCUUGCACCGGGAUUCCUAGAAGUAGCCACAAUGGUCUUUUUCAAGGCUUAGCUAACUGAAGGAUUUUAGGUCUCUUGGCCUAAUCCGUGGGGAACCGGACCCCAGAGACGGAGGGGGCACAUUAUGCAGUACGUCCUACAAAAAGUGACCGUUUUCGCUACCUAGGAUCUAUCUUGCAAGAGAACGGAGAUCUAGAUGGAGAUCUCAACCAUAGAAUACAAGUUGGAUGGAUGAAGUGUAAGAGUGCAUCCGGCGUGUUGUGUGACCGUCGUAGGCCACUGAAGCUCAAGGGAAAAUUUUAUAGGACGGCAAUAAGGCCAGCGAUGUUGUAUGGCACAGAAUGUUGGGCGGUGAAGCAUCAACACGUACACAAAAUGGGUGUAGCCGAGAUGAGGAUGCUUCGUGGGAUGUAUGGGCACACGAGAAAGGAUAAGAUUGGGAAUGAGGAUAUCCGAGGUAAAGUAGGAGUAGCCAAAAUUGAAGGAAAUAUGAGAGAAUCGGUUCCGGUGGUUUGGACAUGUGCAAAGAAGGCCCACUGACGCUCCGGUUCGAAAAUGUGACUACGGGACAGAGGUUCAGGGCCGAAGGGGUAGAGGAAGACCUAGGAAAACUUUGGAAGAGACCCUAAGAAAAGACUUCAGUACUUGGAUCUAACGGAGGACAUGACACAAAACCGAGCGCAAUGGCAUUCUAGGAUUCAUAUAGCCGACCCCACUUAGUGGGAAAAGGCUUUGUUGUUGUUGUUGUUGUUGUUGUUAUUCACAUGCUCUUGCAUAAGCUCAGGGUAGCUAUCCUUGUUGGGGCAUUGAGUGAUGUCAUGAGUUGUCUCACUACAAAUGAUGCACGCUUCUUGGGCAUUGGACAUGGAAGAGACCUGCAUUAAGGCAGUAAACUUGGCAUUAAAAUUCUUUUCCAUUUUAGCAAUUUGAGCAGAAACAUUAGGAGAACUCUGAGAAAUCUCAAAAACUCCCCUAUUUUGUGUUUGUUCUUCUGUCCAUUGUUGGGAUUCAGAAGCCAUCAUAUCAAAUAACUCAAAUGCUUCCCUUGCUGAUUUUGACAUUAACGACUCUCCAGCAGAUGCAUUCACUUGACUCUUGGUGGUGGCAUUGAGACCAUCAUAAAAUAUGUUCAUUUGAAGGUUAGAAUCAAACUCAGCAUGAGGACAUUUUGUGUACAUCUCAUUAUACCGUUCCCAAGCUUCAUGGAAAGACUCGUUUGGCUUUUGAGCGAAAGCCAAUAUCUCUUUCUUGAGUGCAAGCGUCUUGGAAGAAGGAAAAAACUUAUUGAGAAAUUUUUCUUGCAAUUCUGUCCAUGUUGUAAUGCUAUUGGCAGGCAGAGAAUGCAGCCACGCCUUGGCUUUGUCCUUCAAAGAGAACGGGAACAAACGUAACUUGAUAGAGAAACCUCUGAUUAUGGUGUUGUCACAUGCCUCAAUAAAAUCAGCCAAAUGCAUGUUGGGAUCACUGUUUGGCAACCCAUGAAAGGAUGGCAAUAUGUUGAGGAUGUGAGGUUUGAUUUCAAAGGUUGUCCCAUCUUCCACAUCUGGAUAUAUAAUGCAACUUGGCACUGCAUUGAUUCUCGCUGCCAAUGAAUUCCUUAAAGGUUGACCUGCUGCAGGUAAGGCUAGGGCCAUGUGUGCAACUGGUGCCAAAGGUUGGAAAAUAGAUGUGCUGCUAUCAGGAUCAUGGAACAAAUCCUUAAGAAAAGUAUCACCAAGGUUGGAAUCUUGUGCUAAAUAUUUUUCUCUAGCUAACUUCCUUGCACUCUCUCUGGUUCAGGGUCGUAAGGAAUAAGCACUUGAUUCUUGGACCUUGUUCCAAUCACCAUAUACUACACCUGAACAAACAACAGAAAUAUUAAGCCACAAUAAAAAUAAAAGUAAAAUAAAAUAAAACUUAACAGAAACUAACUAAGCAACAAAAAGGAAAAGAAAGUAAGUAAACCUAGAUGAAUCAAAAACACAAUUUAUGCAAAUUAGCAACCACUAGUUAGUUAAACAAAGACAAAAAUCUCACACCACACAUUCACUGAUUUGAACAAGAGCAAUAUAAAAAUAAAAGCCAUUGAUUUACCCAACGGAGCUAUAUGCAUCAUUCUGCAUAGACUUGAAUAAUUACUAAAAGCUGUGAACUAUAGAAAAGUUAGCUUUUAAAGACUUCAACUUGAUGCUUCAUGACCUUUUUAUUUUUAUUUUUAUUUUUUUUAAUACGUGAUUUAGAAUAGAAAUUUGUGAAAGGGAUACAUAAACAGAUUUCUAACGAAAAUAUACAGCAUUAUUACGGUACCAAAGUUAAAUUCACCAUCAAUGGGCUUAAUCAAAGAUCAAAACUCAACUAAAUUAAUUGCUGUUUUUUUUUUUAAAUUUAAUAAUUAAUAAAAAUAAGACAUAAACAUAAGCAUAAGAAAAAUAAACACAAAAGCUCGGGAACUGUUGGCACAGUCCCCGGCAACGGCGCCAAUUUCUUGAUAGCGAUUUAACCACUUGUAAAACAAAGGGUUAAACCAUAGAAAAUUCUUGCAAGAGAACAAGUGUUUGUAGUAUAGAAUGGCUCAAGCAAGGUCGAUCUCCUCAGGGACUGAUAUAAACAAUUUACGAGUUUUUGUGAAUUAUGCUACUUUUACUCUAAGAAUUACACUAAUUUGACGAAACUAAAUACUAUUGGAUGUGACUUAAACAAAUAUCUAAAAUGGGAAUUGGUUUAUAGGAAUAAUGAUUCAACUAAACAAAACAAGUAAAUGAGAAAAUUCAAGAUAAAAUAAAUGAUUGAAGAAAAAUAGAUUGACAAUAUGCUAGAGUUCAACCUUUACCAACAACACUCCUACGUAGCUCUUCCAAUUGCUUAAAUAAUUGAAAACACACAUACUUUGAAGGUUGGAUUUUCCUUGUGUAUGUUUUACUUGUGACAUUCAAGCUAAAACGCAUACCACUACAUGCAAUUUAUCCAUGACAUUUGGAUUAAAUAUAAACAUAAUGAUUCAUUAAUCUUGAUGAAAAUCCCUUUGUUAAACCAUGUAAUCCCUAAGAGUAUGAUAUUUACCUUAGGAGAGUACAAUCCUCAAUCACAAGAAGCACAAUCAAUUUUAACGUGACAUUCGUUCAAAAUUGCAUCCGAUAACUUUUCUAAGCAUCCUAAUGGUGAUCAAGCAUCAAGGUACAUAGAUAGUUUAAUUCAGUGAUUGAAAAUAUCAAAGCAAGCAUGUAACAACACUUAAGCAAUUGAAAGAGAAAUCUACAUAUUCAUGUUGCGGCUCAUGGCUUCACUCUAGCAAAAUAAAUUAGUUACACAUACUUGUAUUAAUACAUAAGAAAUUAUCCAUAAAAAAAUAACAAAGAAAGAAGACACCCGUUUUUGCAAGACGAGCUCUCCGUUCCUUUUGCUUUCUGCUCCUCACUUCCUCUCCUCUGCCUUUCUGCUUCUCCCCGCGCACCGCACUCUUUUUCCCCCUUUUAUUUUCUGCCGUGCUUCUCUCUCCUCUCUGUCAUCUUCUGUUCGUGUCCCCCAUUUCUUAUUCUUUUCCUUUUGUUUAUUUCCUUCUGUCAGUCCAUCAUCUUUGUCCUCUCUGCCUUUAUUCUUUUUGCUCCCUCCCCCUUCUCUUGUUUCUGCCGUGCUCCCUUCUUUAUGUGUGCCUUCUGCCCUUUCUUUUCUAUUCUUUUAUUCUUUUCCUUCCACUCUUCUUUGUCUGCCAGUCUGUCCCGUGUGCCUUUCCCUCUUUUUCUUAUCUGUUUUCUGUUGCUUUAAACAAUAAGGCAAUGAUCCUUUCAAAACAUCACCCCGUGGAGACAAGCUCCACUUCCAUUUCUCUUAUUUGUUUUUAUUAAUUCAUUUUCUCCAUUUUGCUUGAAAGUGAUCCUAAAAUAAAUUUAACUGCACAUUAACACAAGGUAAGGUAAAAUGCUACAAUUUUAACACAAAAACAUCACAAAGACUUUAGAAAUGUAUGGUACAAAUGCAUGAAAUAUAUGAGUGAUCAAUCGCUCCAUGGUGUUCCAAUCUGCAACCAAAAACACAAAUAUACACAGGUCAUUCAUAUUGCUUUCUAUUUCUUUCUAAGGAAACCUCAACGUCACAAGAGAAACUUAAGGAAGAAGCACAGAUAAACCAAACAAAACGGAUAAUUGUUUGCGUAGUAGGUACGUACCUGUCGGAUUCCAUGCCAAUGUAUGGCGGUAUUUUCUGUCCAUAAACUGUUAGUAACCUCAACGAUGAUUGUGUCGCCCUGCUGAGCAUGUAUGGUUGGUCCAGGACUUCUGCCAUUGAUGGUUAUAACCAGUUUCUUGAAGCAGUCAGGGGACUUGUACUCGUACUUGAGCUCCCAUUUGUAAUUCCUAAUUCUACCCACCACAACUAGAACCUCGAUAAUCAAGCACAAGACACAUACCAACAUAGCCACCGCCGAUUUAAAAAUGCCACCAUUAAUAUCAAGUACCAUCUACUAACAAGUUGACAUGUUUGUCAUUUAUUGUAAACAGCGUGGAAGGUAUGAAACACCUUGACUUUGAUUUGUUUACUCUUUUGACGCCUACUACGGAGGUGGAGGUAGAUGAGAUGAGAUUUUUUAGAACACGGAGUGGAACGCUACAUAUUACAAUAUAAUUGAGGGAUACUUGAAAAAAAAUAAAAAUUCCUCCAAUCAUAUAAUAACAUGUGGAAUUCACCCCGUAUUCCUGACACACUCAAAAAUCUCUUGUAUAUGAGUUUGAUGCUUAAUUGUACAUAAAAAUCAGUCACGUGAGUUUGAUUUGUGUCACACUAUUGUCACAGUGCGGUUUGAGAUUGAUAGAGGUGAGUUCCAUAUAUUAAAUAUGGUGAACUAUCAAUUUAGUCUCUGAAUUAUCACUUGAAUGAGGUCCCUAAAUAAUCAGUCAUUGAAUUAUAAAAAUCUGCCAAUUACAUCUCUAUUAUUAGAUUCGAAGCUACUAUAUUCAACUUUCCGGCAAUUUAAGUCACGUUACUUACAUGUGAUACACAUUGGAGAGUAGAUUGAUAUGUUUUUCAUAAAGAAAUAGUGUACAGAGUUAACUUUGGACUUAGAUGUUGGAUUCGCAACCUAUAUGAAAUGUUAAGGGUUUUUAGGCAAGAAAAUGAUGGUAACAUUUUAAAGUGUGUCAAAUAACUUAAGUUGACAAAAAAUUGGACAAACUAGAUCGAUGAUACCCAACCAUUUCUUUCAUAUUUUAUGUUUGAUUACACUAUUGCCACUGGAAUUACCGUGAGUCAUUUCUUCUUAUAGGAAACAUACUCAUAAUUAAGUUCAAUAUAUUGAACUCAAAAUUAAAAAUGUUUGUACCAUACUUGACCAAUCCUGAAACUAUUGAGCACCGGUCAACGUUAUACCGUCAAGGACCCAGAAGAGUUUCCCUCCAACCAGGAGGCCAAUCACAGCGCGACACACGUCGACAUCAGAAGCCAAUCAUAGCGCGACACGUGUCAACAUAAAAAGCCAAUCACAACACGACACGUGUCAAUGUCAGAAUGAAAUUAGAAACUCUUUUCUAUAAAUAGAGAUCAUUCUCUCACAAUAUUUCCGGAUGUCAUUUGCACUAAAUCAUUCACUAGUACUCACUAAAGGAAAGCUUGAACCUAUGUACUUGUGUAAACCCUUCACAAUUAAUGAGAACUCCUCUACUCCGUGGACGUAGCCAAUCUGGGUGAACCACGUACAUCUUGUGUUUGUUUCCCUAUCCCUAUCCAUUUACAUACUUAUCCACACUAGUGACCAAAGCAAUCUAGCGAAGGUCUCGAACUUAACACUUUCUGUUGUACCAAAGUCCUCAUUGAUUUUGUGCAUCAACAUUUGACGCCGUCUGUGGGACCAACACUUAUUCCCACUCUCUUCAGCUUUGUUAAGCUGGUUUCCACCAUUCAUACACUCUCUUUUGACCAGGCAUCCCUUUCCAACAUGGGGAGCGAAGGAAACCACAGCACACAAAAUGACACCCCUCUUGCACCUGGUGCGAAGCAACGAAAGAAGGAACAAAAGAAGUUUGCUCUUCAGGCUAAAGUCGAUGAGCUGGAGGUUCAGAACAACAAGAUAGCGAUGAAGAAUGAGAUCCUCCAGGAGCAGUAUGAGAAGGUCUUUGGGACGCUCCACGAAACUAGGCGUACUUAAACACGCGAGCUUGUUACCCUUGUGGACAUCAACCAUCAUCUGGGUGCCCCCCAACAAGGAGGGUCACCUCCAUUCGACAUAGGUAUCCCUGAUGAGGAGCGAGCUAAUCAUCAAAACAUUGAUCAAUAUGAGACUUCUCUCAACCCAGAUGCUUCGACUCGAAACAGGAGAAGUGGAGGAAGACACCUCCUUGCAGAAGGGUUGGAAGGAUCGAAAGCCGUUUAUCAUGACUACCGAGGCUUCCUAAAGCAACGUCGAGAGAAUCCCCUCUACAUAUGCUCGAAGAUCAAUGACCUAAAGGUUUCUGAAAGACUCGGUCCCAUCCUACGACCCAGGCCAGCUGCUAAUCUAGGGAAGAAACGAUAGGUCCCAGAGGAACAUGAAGGUACAGGGGACUCUAAGGUAUUCCGACAGACUUACCCCAGAAGUCAAUACGGCAAGUCCAAGGAAAAACCACACGCCCUUGCUCAAACUUUCCUACUUCUAAGAGGUGAUGGAGACUGACGAAAGAAAAUUCCAGUGGUACAUGACUCCACUCAGGACCCCCUUAUCCUACAACUCCUUGAGGAAGUAAACAAGUUGAAGGCCGAACGUCAAAACGAGAUACCUGACUGGAACCAACCCAGGCCUGACCCUCUCACAAGAAGGAUCUUCGACACCCCCUUUAAGCAAAGACAAAAUAAAAGCUUGGUUUACAACUCUAUAUUGGAAGGGAAGACCCAAUUGAACACCUUAACCUCUUUGAGUCCACCAUGGCAUAUAUGAUGCACACCGACGAAGCCAGACGAGUCACUACAAGAGUAUGCCGGUUGCUUCAGCCAUGAGUAUUCUCGCUGCGCUGAGGCAGAUGACAAGACCGCCCUCAAGGCCUUCACGGUAGGCCUACGUGAUUGUUUCUUCAAGUACAUGAUCAAUGCCAACACUUGGAAGACUUACUCUGAGGUGAUGGCACAUGCUUACAACCACGCAUCCGCCGAAGCAAGGACAUACCAAGGAAACCCCCAUAUGGUUAACCCCUAUCAACAAAUGGGAAGUGGAAGUCAAGUUCUACCAAGUGAGAAGAUAUUGGCCAUUUAUACACCCAUUGCAUCAUCUCCUGCCUCAUUUACCUACUCGCUAAGUCACCAAACGUAUUUGUCUCUUGGUAAGAGGAAGAAUUUUUACUUUCAGUAAGCCCAUUACAACAAGAGGGAUAAAAGUUCGUAUCAAGACAACCAGGGGUGAACGUACCAUCGACUAUUAUGACUAUGGGGCCAAGCCUUACUCUUUCAAAAUGGAGGACUAGGUACUGAAGGAAAUGCUAUUAUAAGAAGGCAUACACAUUAUAAAUGUUUUGACUCUCAACUGCUUGAGAUCUUUUGUCACACAAGCCAUUCGGCAACUAUUUAAAGAAAAGGGAAUUCAGACAACUUCUUCUGACAUGCGUACUUUGACACAAAGCAUGUGAUACUAAGUGUUACAACCAAAAUGGUUCACAUAUCAAAAGCAUGGAUCCCUUCAUGCAUAGUAAAACAUUCAUAAGCAUCACUCAUAUCAAUCAACAUAAACAUCACACAUUCCAACACAUUCAUACAUAAACAUCAUACAUUCCAACACAUUCAUACAUAAACAUCAUACAUUCCAACACAUCCAUACAUAAGUCAACUGUGCUUCGAAAGGGUUCAACAUACUUUGUGUCAUUCGACACUUGCUACAAUGUGCCUCGACACCUUGCCCUUAUUCUCACCAACCAGGUGAUGAAAUGUGAAGAAGGAACUCAUCUUCAUGCCACCAACCAGGUGAUGAAAUGUACAACCCGUACUCUCCUUCAUGCCACCAACCAGGUAAUGAAAUGUACAACUCGUACUCUAAAUAUCAUUUGGCAACUUGCCACUCAUGCCCCCAACCAGGUGAAGAAGGAACUCAUCUUCAUGCCACCAACCAGGUGAUGAAAUGUACAACCCGUACUCUCUUUCAUGCCACCAACCAGGUGAUGAAAUGUACAACCCGUACUCUCAAUCAUGCCACCAACUAGCUGAUGAAAUGUACAACUCGUACUCUAUAUCAUAUAGCAACUUGCCAUUCAUGCCACCAACCAGGUGAUGAAAUGUACAACUCGUACUCUCCUUCAUGCCACCAACCAGGUGAUGAAAUGUACAACCAGUACCCUAAUAUCAAUGGGGGGCAACCACAAUUCUUAAAAGCUUCACACACACUUAAUCAAGACAGUGUGAAGCAAAACCAAUUUAUGGUGCCAACAAUAGCUUCAUCAAUGGAGGACAACCACAAUUCUCAAAAGCUUCACACACUCUUGAUCAAGACAAUGUGAAGCAAAACUAAUUUUUGGUGCCAACAAGAGCUUCAUCAAAUGAGCUCAAUCACAAUUCUCAAAAGCUUCACACACUCUUGAUUAAGACAGUGUGAAGCAAAACUAAUUUAUGGUGCCAACAAGAGCUUCAUUAAAGGAGUUCCCACAAUUCUCAAAAGCAUCACGCACUCUUCAUCAAGACAGUGUGAAGCAAAACCAAUUUAUGGUGCCAACAAAGAGUUCAACCACAAUUCUCAAAAGCUUCACACACUCUUGAUUAAGACAGUGUGAAGCAAAACCAAUUUAUGGUGCGAACAAGAGCUUCAUCAAUGGUGGGCAACCACAAUUCUCAAAAGCUUCACACACUCUUGAUCAAGACAGUGUGAAGCAAAACCAAUUUAUGGUGCCAACAAUGAAGGGCAACUACAACUCAUAGAAAGCUUCACACACUCUUAAUCAAGAUUGUUCGAAGCAAAUUCAAUUUAUAUGGUUCAUCCAAACCUUUGACUACUACAAGGUGUGGCUUGCAUCACAAUCUCUUGCUCAACAGUGUGGAAGCAAAAUUUGUAUAUGUUGUUUCUCUUACAUUUUCAAAUUUCUAGUUUUCCUAAAAACAAAAACAAAACCAAAAAAAAAAGGGAAAUUCAACAAAGCUUUAUCAAUGGAGGACAACUACAAAUUCUCAAAAGCUUCACAUUAUCUUCAUCAAGAUAGUGUGAAGCAAAAUCAAUUCAUGGUACCCAACAAAAGCUUCAACUCCAAAGCUUCACCUACAAAGCUUCGACUCCAAAGCUUCACCUACAAAGCUUCGACUCCAAAGCUUCACGUACAAAAGCUUCACCUACAAAAGCUUCAACUCCAAAGCUUCACCUACACACCUUCAACUCCAAAGCUUCACCUACAAAGCUUCAACACAAAAGCUUCACCCACAAUAACUUCACCUACAAAAGCUUGACCCACAAAAGCUUGACCUACAAAAGCUUCACCCACAAAUGCUUCAACACAAAAGCUUCACCUACAAAAUCUUGACCCACAAAAGCUUCACCUACAAAAGCUUGACCUACAAAAGUUUCACCUACAAAAGCUUCACACUAUCUUGAUUAAGAUAGUGUGAAGCAAAAUCAAUUCAUGGUGCCCAACAAAGCUUCACCCACCACAAAAGCUUCACCUACAAAAGCUUCACCCAUAAAAGCUUCACCACAAAAAGCUUCACCCCACAAAAGCUUCCCCCACCCAAAAAGCUUCACCCACAAAAAGCUUCACCCACAAAAGCUUCACCUACAAAAGCUUCACACUAUCUUGAUCAAGAUAGUGUGAAGCAAAAUCAAUUCAUAGUACCCAACAAAGCUUCAACAUCAAAGCUUCACCUACAAAACUUCACCUACAAAGCUUCACCUAUAAAGCUUAAUAUAUAUAUAUAUAUAUAUAUAUUCAGAAAUUCGAAAAUUCAAAAAUUCAAAAAAAAAAAAUCGAAAAUUCAGAAAAAAAAAAGAAGCCUAUGACUCCUCUUAUUUGGGCCUAACAACUUUCAUAACAAAUAUAUAUGAAAUAGGAGUUUUGGGCUACCAGUUAGAAAGGAAAAUGGUGAAGUUUUGUUACUUUGGAAACUUGGCUACUAGCAAGACACCUCCUUUGUCCACUUCCUCGACCAAAGACUUGGGGGACUCCUACCAUAUGCUACUGCACCUUGAUACUCGGAAGUCUCACGACCACUCAAUGACUUGGAUUUUUUCAAGUCUCCAACCUAGAAGUUUUCCUCACUCGGGAAAUUAAGGGAGCACUACCUCAACCUACAUGCUUCACUCACAAAGCUUCAACAUACAAGCUUCAACAAAAGGAAAAAUUCAAAGAACUUAGUGAAGAAGACCUUAGUGUAUUUAGCACAAUACGUUGAAAUGAAGCAAAGCUUGUUUAUUGAUAUCUCUGAUAAGUUACAAAUAUGUACAUAUACAUGAAUCAAAAUAAACAAACAAGAGGGAGCCUUCACAAAGGUUGCUCAGGAGAAGUCUUAUCAUUUGGCAGAGCCCCAGAAAGAGGAGGCACCAGAGGGUGAUUAUUCGGAGCCUCAGUACCAGGAGAACCCCAGAAGGAUGAGGCACUGAAGGUUGAUCAUUUGGAGCUUCAUUACGCGGUACAGCCCCAGAAGAUGAAGGCAAUAAAUGCCUUCGGUACAAACCCACAAACCUUUGAUGAUCAAGUAAAAUCUGACCAUCAGAUUCCUGCAGCUGGUCGAGCUUCUUCUUCAUGUUUGUAGCAUAGUCAUAUGCGAGCCUAUGCAACUAUUUAUUCUCAUGCUUGAGCCCACUAAUCAAUUGUUUGAGACUUAUCACUUCAGCCGCCAAUGAUUCAACUUGGCGGGUUCGAGCAAUAGGCGUGGGGCCAUAUUAGACACAGAUCCUGCACAUUUAACACUGAGAGCUAGAGAAUCCUUAACAGCUAACUCAUCAGACCAUUUGGAAAGUAGUCUGUUAUCUUUGGGAGUGAGAAGGUUCCUGGCCACCACCGCAGCAGUCAUAUCAUUCUUCAUCACAGAGUCCCAAACGGUAAGAGGACCAGUAGGGGAUAAGAAUGAUAAGCGCCAUAUAUUGUCUUGAGAAGGCAUGGCUGCCUCUUCACCAAAGUUUAAGUCAAAACGACGGUCGGAUGGGCCAGACAUUCUCAGAAAUGAUGAAGGAGAAAUGAGGUGCAAUAAAUCUCUGAAGUAAGAGGAAAAUUCCUACAAGCAAUAACUCUUUGAAUAUAAUUCUUGCACACAAUUGGUGCCCUUAUAAAAGAAAGGGCAACAUGGCCGUUGGUUCAAAAAUAGAAGAGGCACCACUCUCCGGAUUCCGAAGAGGCACCACUUUCCACAUGCAACAUCAGCUCCUCGGGUACCACAGAUAACUUUGCCAAAGAACUCUGACAAAGUUUAAACACAUAAAUUUUGAAGGUCCAGCUACCCUACUAUUACCCACAAGGGUAAAGGAACAGCACCACUGCUUGAUAACUAGAAAGUCCCAAUGUGUGUCAACCCCGUGCUCCGUGGCAAGGCAGACUGGCAAAAAUGCCCAACCUUUACUUACAUUCGAGAAAACACUCCCAACAAGAUUGCUUGCUCAAAAAUCAAAGAGGCACCACUCUCCGAAUCUCGAGAGCCAAACUCCCAACAGGAUUACGUGUUAAAAAAUCGAAGAGGCACCGCCCUCCGAAUCUCGAAAGCUAGACUCUCAACAAGAUUACUUUCUCAAAAAUCGAAGAGACAUUGCUCUCCAAAUCUUAAGAGUCAAGACUCCCAACAGGAUUGCUUUCUCAAAAAUCGAAGAGGCACCGUUCUCUGAAUCUUGAGAGCUAGAUCCCCGAUAGGAUUGCUUGUUCAAAAAUCGAAGAGGCACGGCUUUUCGAACUUCGAGAGCCAGAUUUCCUAGGAUAAAGUUUGUUUGCAAUCUUCACACGCAAAAUUAGCUUUCCAGAUACCACAGAUCACUUUUUCAAAGUGCUAUGACAAAGUUAAAACACGUGAAGCUUGAAGCUCCCAUUACAUUGCUAUGACCAAGAAAGGUAAAGGAAUAGCACUACUAUUUGUUGUUAGGAAGACUCAUAUAUAUGUCGACCUCCAUCCUCCACAACCAGACAAACCUGCAAAUAAAAAAAUGCUCAACUUUUCUUCACAUUUGAGAGGGCACUCUCAGCAGAGUCUUUCGAAAUACUCAGCUUCUUUUCCUCCCGAUAAUAGCUCUGCAAACAAGCCACACCAGAGCAAGAGUAUCUCAUAUCAUCAGGGUUAAAAGCAAGAGUAUCCCAUAUCAUGCUUUUUCCUUGUCUUUUCCUUUGGCCUUGUUCUUACCUGCAAGACAAGUAGAAAGAGAGCAAUCAGUCAGCACUUGGAAUCAAGCUUCCAGUCAAGAACUGACUGCUUGGAACCCCUUGCCUGAUUACUUACCUGGCAUUGCUCUCGAGUACUCAUCUUCAACAUCUUAUGUUUCCAGAGAAGAUACCACAUCUGCCUGAGGAACAUAUAGGGCAAGUGAGAAGGAUACAAGGAAGCAUGUGGAGACAAGUGUAACAGAACACGUGCCGAUACAUCAACUACUUUGUCAACAGCAAAAGUAUCCCAUAUCAUCAAGGUCGAACGUACUCUAGAUUUGAUGGACUUGUUUUGAUCCUCAAAUUCUUGAGUCGGCCUUAUACUCUGGAGGAAACCAGAAAACCCUCUAGCCCAGUUCAAGAAUAAGCCUAUGGAAAGUUACUUCUUCAAAAAACAAAAGUAUCUCAUAUCAUCUCUUCUCCAUUUGCUUCUCCUUAUCCUUGUUGCUAUUUACGACACAAAGAGAAGGAGAACAAUCAACUGGAAGCCAAAGUCGAACCUCCGAUCUAGAUUGCUUGCUUGGAAGUUUGAUUGCUUACCUUGUCUGUUACCUCCUUCGGCAAAUCUCCUAGCUUGGCGACUUGAGGGACUCAUAGUGUUUGUAUCGCACUUGACCAAGCCCAAAACUACAAGUAAGCUUCAAGUGAAAUUGAUACAAUCGCAAGGAUUAUAUUUGUUCCAAAUUUCGUUAUUCCAAAAGUGAGACAAAUUUGGAGAAGAAAAGAGAAUCAAAAUGGUGUACUUGUCAAUACCUCUCCAACUCCAAGUUGUUUAAAUUGACUGAGCUCUCUCUUUGCAAAUGCUUUCAUUCAUGCAUGGUUGCAUGUUCAUAUAGUAUAGAUAUUGUAUUUUUUUUCUUGUUAAAAAAAUUUGUGUGAGGUGAAAUGCUUGACCUAUUAUGAUAGUAUAGAAAUGAUUUCAUAUGAAUUCUAGCUUUGUUCACUUGAUGGCAUGACUCUACUAUGAUAUGUUUGACCCAUUGUAGACAAUAGCCUCUUGUUGAUAAUAUAUGAAUGUUAAUGAGAUUUUGUGCUUAAAUAUAGUGUGUCCAUUUUUCAUACACUCUUUUUUUCAUGUGUACAAUCGUAUGUGUUUUGCAUCUCUAGAACUUGCCUUGAGACCUCUCAAAACUUUGUAUCAUAUAUUUCUCUAUUUUGGAGGCGUUAGGACUUACCACUAUUUCCACUUGCCAGUGCCUCACAUUUUUUUGUCCCUGGUUAGCCUUUUUGAGCCUGGAUGUAAGUCUUUUUGUUCUUAACCUUAAAUUUUUCUUAACUAGCCUCUUAUAUUAAAAAUGCCCUACCCUACAAAGAAACUAGUAGCUUACGUUUUCCAAAUGAGAGAGUUCAAGGCUGUUCAAAAGCUAAAGACACAAAUUUUAAAGAAACUCAAUUACAAAUGAAGAGCAAAAGAAGAAAAGAGGAAAAUAGGUCAUUGUGAGCCACAAUGAGCUGUCAACAUCAUAAAAAAUCAAGUGCAUCGUUGCCUGGUUAAUUGUUGCAUUUCUCUCUUAGUUUCGUUUUCCACCACUUUAUAAGUUUUUUGGACUUUGUGAUUCUCAUAUCCUUCAUUUAUUUAACCAAGUCCCCGAAGCCCCAUUACAACCCUUCACAAAGACCUACUUGAUCCAAAGAAGGUAAAUUUGAGUGUAUACACUUAACCCCAAACACUUUGAGUGACAAUUCGAGUGUAUGACUUGUGAGUUUAAAGGUUAAAUUAGAGUUGAUCUUGUCAUGCUUAAUUGCAUUUGUGUUUUACCAACUUUUGUCUAUACUCUCAACUACACUCAUACAUGUUAUGGUUCAGGGAAAGUGUUAGCUUGUGAAUGAGGAUUCAGAACUACAUGUGUUCUUGCACUCUUUCAUGUUGGUACAAUCAUAUGCUUCUCAUAGAUUAGAGGAAAAAUAAUCAUAUCAUUUGUGUGCUGCAUUUCAUUAUAUUUUUUUAAGCAUUUGUUUAAGGGGAGCUUAACAAUAUGAAAGAUGUAUUUCUUUCCAUGUUUAUUUUUUUUUUCCACUAGUGCAUUAGUUUUCUUUCCCCUCCUCAAUUCAUCUCACUUUCAUUCUUCCGAAGUGGUUUCAGUUCACAUAAAAGAAAUUUUUUCCAUGCCAUUUCGUUAUGUUCGCUUAUCUUCCGUAGAUUGCACCGGAUGAUUACCUCGAAUAUAUAUCUUUCAGGAAAGGAUCUGUUUCGCAUUUCAAGUGAAUAAGACAAAGUUGAUGUCUAUUUGCCUCCUCCCUAUUUGACAUUUAUUUAUUUCUCUCUUACUUUUAGACCUUUCACCCUUAUAGACAAAAAGGGGAAGAAGUAUGAUGCUUAUAUCUAGGAAGAGAAGUAGAAUUUCAAAAACCUGGUUGUUUUUGGUUGCUUGCUAUUACAUAUAUAAAUGUUUUUAUUUUCAGCAGCUUAUAUCUUUUGUACGCCACAGGUUUUUUGGUUUGAGUGUGUGCAGGUUAUAAACGUUGAUGUUAUGCAUGGUCUUUUAUAUUAUUAUCCAUUUGUAAUAUUGUGAUUGAGGGUUUUAUCUAGGAAAUCCCAAAAGGGGAGAUUGUUAGGGUAAAAUUGGAUGUUCAUAAACAAAACGCAUGAGUAUGUAAUUUGUAGACUAGUACAUGUUUUCUGUUGUAGCUAUUUUGGUCUAAGUUUGUCUCUCGUACUCUCGAUCACAAAAAUGACAAAUGUUUUAGAGACAUCUACUCAGGUACAAUUGUAAUACAUACGCAUAUAAUCUGGGUUCAUGUCGAUUGGGCUUAUUGGUUUUAACGGCCUGUUUUGAAUUUGGGUUUAAAAUUCUUUCGGAACCUAUUUGGUUGUGUGGUUGUAUGUUAAAUUAGUUUGGGCUUAAGAAGAUAGUGCCGUGGAAUCCUAUAGGUAAAAUACCUUAGCCUUUGGUUAGUAAUUUGAUAAUUUAGUUUGUCUGCUUUAUCCCAACAACUUCAUGCUAGCCAUGCACGUUUAUCAUGUUUGUAGUCUCAAUCUUUUAGAGUUUUAAGUUCAUUAAAAGUCUUCUACUGUAGCCAAUAUAUCUAGGUGCUUAGAUAUUCAUUUCGUGCUACUGCUGCCGUAUUACAACAUAUAUAUGCAUUGAGAGCAAUCAUUUAUUUGAGAGAGCAUGUUGGAAAUGUGCCCUAAAACCAAUCAUGUGAUGAUACUUUACGGACAUUUCACAUGUUAAACUAAUCUAGUUUAAUAUCAAGGGCAAAGAUUAUUGUUUUAAGACGUCUCAUAUAAAUGUUAUAUGCUUAAACGAUGAGUCCAAGGAAUAUGUAAUUAGGAGAAUGUAAUUUAAAGAAGUUAGAUUCAUGAAACCAUUCUCUUUCGUAUACAUAUCCUAAACGUUCCUGAUCAUAGGAUUGCCAAUUGGGCAUUGACAGUCCGUUAAGAUCAGUAUGUGCUAUGUCUUCUCUUAGUGAGAGUAACUGGUCUCAAGUCAUUGGUGUGACUGACACCAAGACAAGUACGUAGGUGCUCAAUAAGGAAUGAGUUCACCGAACACGAUCAACGAAGAGUUCUCAUACUCAUGUCACAUGAGAACUCAUGGUUGGGAUAAUGCAAAGUAGUCAUUUGACCUAAGGCAUCAUAGUUGUCUUGUGGUUAGGUCCUUGAUCUUUGAUUAUGUCAAAGUCACUCCAUUCGUGGGUGUCCACGACAUAGUUGGGGUUAAGCCACUUAGCCAUGGAGGCAAGUGAAUGCGCAACAAGGGAUCUCUAACCUUCAAACCGUUUGAGGGAGAAUACUCUAUGAUAUGAUUAAGAAUCUCUGGCCAGAGUAUGAAUGAGAUUUAGGAAGUCGUUCCAAAUCACAUUCAAGAUAAUCAUAUAAGUAAAUGAAUCACAUUGGAUAGUAGACAUGAAUAAACUAUCAAACCAAACAAUGUGGUCAAGAGUAUUGUAUUAGAGAAAGACCAUAUUGCAUUGUAAUCCUAAACUGAAUAGGUUCUCCACCUCUUCUGAUUAGCUUGGGUAACCAUGACAUACUGCUAGGUGUCACUCAUGGUUUGUGGAAGCCCUAAACGUGUAUAAUCACUAAAGGGAGAAUUGAAAGUAAGUUUCAAUUCACAAUCGAUUUGAAAGAGUUCUAAUCGCCCACAGCCUCGCUAAAAGGAAACUAAUGGAUCGUACACCGUGUAAGGUAGAGAUUGAAGAAACAACGGAGAUGAGUAAGAAUAAUUAAAUGGUUUAAUUAUUUAUGGCAAGGAUUAAUUAAUAUGUUAAUUAAUCAAACGAAUAAGUUCGUUAAAGACCUCGGGAUAGUAUUGGACCUUAAGGCCCAAUGGGCUUUGAACGUGAAGUCCAUUGACUUAAGUUGUAUGACAACUUAAUGAAUAAUGAUUCACAAAGGCACAAAUAGCCCAAUAAUACCCUAAGGCCGGCCAUUUAGAGGAAGGGUAGUGAACUUGCUUUAAUUACAAGUUUGCCACUCCAAUGAAUAAAGGUAUAAAUAUGACUUUAUAGCCAAAAUUCAUUUAGGGUUUUUGAGGAAAUUGGAGAGAACACAAAGCUCUCAUUUCUCUCUAAAGAGGUCGGCCACCCUUGGAGGGAUUAGCUAGUAAUCUUUCUCCCCCAAGGUCACUCAUCUCUUCUUCACAUCUUACCUUGGUGUGGAGACUUAGAGGUUCUCAAUUUUGAGAACUUGGAGAAACCAAUUCUUCCAUCCAAAUCCAUGGAUCUAAGAAGCAAGGAAUGAAGGCCCUAUCUCUUGGGUGAUUAUCCUUUGCUUUUGCAAAGAGGAAUCUACAAAGGUAUAAAUUCUCAACUCACUUAAUUUUGAGUUGAGUCUUGGUUCACCUAACUACUAGGCUUUGAAUUUCAUGGUUAACGUUUUGUUUUUAAGUGCAUACAAGCAUGAUUCCGCCUUUAAUUUGUUAAUUGCAUGCUAUAGAUGUUGCUUAAAUGAACAUGUUUUUCACAAAAUUUCCUUCAGAGCAUGCGUUGGGUAUUUAGAAGUCAUCAUCAUACCAUAAGUUUUGGUUUUGGUUGCUGCAGCAUGCAUUAGAAUAGGCUUUGUUUUUGGGCUGAUGUUUUGUGCCUUAAUGAAAAAAAGAAAAGAAAAAAAAACCCCUGUCGCAUAGCACACUUGCAUGCACCAAGGGAUAUUUGAGCUUAAUUUAGUCAGCAACACUAGCAACAUUGCAUAUAUUUCUUUGCUGCAUGAAUUAGAUUCGGAUUUUGGUUUUUGUUUUGCUCAUGAAACAUUAUUAGAAAGCAACGACAUGUGAGCAGCCCGUGUGCACAUAAGGAUUUCCAUGAAGAAAAAUCAGUUUCAUUGUAGAGUGUUUUAAUGAGAAAAUAUUAGUUUUUAUUCACUUAUUUUUCUUGCACCUAAAUUAGAAAUUAAUUAUGAAAAUGUGCCUUGUGAUUUUCAUAAUUGGUUGAUUUUCAAAAUCAUUUCAUUUCAUACUUUCUGCAUGAUCGCAUUAGUAUCUUGCAAAUUUCGAGGACAGUGAUUGAUGGGCCAAGUUAGUGUCUUGCCACUUCUACUCAAAGACUAAAGAAAGAUCUAGUAGCAAAGUGCGAAGACAAAACUGUCUACUGGUAUGUAUGUGUAGUUGAUGAGUUUUGUAUGUCUUUUUGUACUCAUUUCUCUUAGUGAUUGUCCUGGCAUGGGAGCUCGAGGAUUUUCCCAGUGGCGGGUUUUGCCUCGUUAAAUCCUACAUCUUGUGUGCACAUUUUGUUUAGCAUUUUAAUUGCAUAUGUGUAGGAUAGUUUGGUAUGUGAUGUGAAUGCAGAAGUUAAAUUGAGAAUUAAAUUUGAAUUGGAUUUUUAAGUUGGAACCUAUUCACCCCCUUUAGGUUAAACCAAUACCCAUCCUAGAACUUUCAAGAAGGAAACUCUUUGGAAGGAGAUUAAGCAUCUUUGCUAAAAGGUUGAUCAGAGAGAUAACAAGAGCAUCACAAACCUUCAACAGCUUACCUUAUAGGCAUACCUCUAAGAUGUCUGCACUCUAAGAAGGCCAUGAGAAGUUACUCGAAGAGGAGUUUGAUGUCAGAUUCCCCACUAGCUACGCCUAGUGAGACUACCUUAGGGGUUAGAGUGUUUUCAGAAUUUAUGAGGAGAACAAACAUAUGGAGUUCCUCCUCCAUAGUAUUUGUGGACGUGAUUUCAAAUUUAGAGGCAGAGCAAGAGGAAUGCGAUCUUGAAGACAAUCUUGCACUUGAUACCCCUGGUGAAUCCUCUACUACAUUCAAAGGAAAAGAUGUGCCGAAAGAAGAUUAAUUUGCACUUACUUCUAGCUAGGUCCUUAUAAAAAGCACCUGCAUAAUUCAAACUGCCAAAAAAUCUUUGCAGUUGUUUUUUAAUCCAAAAUUUCAUCUGGAAAUUUAUCAGCAAAAUCAAUAGGCAAAAUAAUUCCUUUAUGAAUAUUAUGCCCUAAAAAUAAAACCUUGGUUUGAAAGAGUUUCAUCUUUUGAGUUGAAACUACUAAACGUGCAUUCUUCACCACUUUCAAGAAAAUACUUAGAUGCUUAAAGUGCUAUUCUAACGAAUUAGAAAAGACUACAACAUUAUCAAUAUAAACAAUAGUAAAAGUUGAGUAAGGUUUAAAGAUGUCAUUCAUGAUAUUUUGAAAUUCAAAAGGAGCUUUCUUUAAUCCAAAAGACAUUACAUUCCAUUCGUAGUGUCUAAAUGGGAUAUUGAAUGCAAUUUUAUACCUGUCCUUUUCUACAUAGAAUGUUGAAUAACUUAAAGGAGAAUAGCUCUUUCGGAUUAGCUUCUUUUCAAGAAGUUCAUUGAUUUCUUUCUUGCAAAUCUUCAUUAAUCUGUUAUUCGUUUGAAUGGGUUGAGCCUUUGUGGGAUUUUUCUUUUCAUCAAAAUCAGGUUCUAGGGUAAUUCGACAAUAUGCUUCUUACGAUCCCAAAAGGCACUUGGAAUUUCAGCACAUACCUGUUUUUCAAAUUUCUUUUGGGUGGACUCAACUUUUUCUUUUACUAUCUUUGUAGUGAGUUGUUCUUCAGUCAUUUUAAAAUGCAUUUUUUCUUUCAGAGAACAAAGAAAUUUUUCUUUGUUUUGAAUAUUCUUUUGUAUGGAAUUUACAUAUUGCAUUUGGGGUCGUCUAGAAAAUGUGAACUUUACCUUUGUUCCUUCAACUUCAGUUUCAGUACCUUCUUCAGAAACUUUGAAUGGAUAAAACAUGUUGAUAAAAGGAAUACCUAAUACCUAAAAUCACAGCAUGGCUUAGUCCUUUAACCAUAACAAAAGGAGUUUCAAAACAAACCUCAUCUUGAACGACUGCGGCAUCCGACACUUUAUAUUGAAUUUUCAUAGGUUGAUCAGUUGCACUACACAGACCUUGAGAUGUUUUUGAGAAGUACUUUGUGGGUACAGUUCCUUCAUUUAUACAAUUUAGAUCUGCUCCGGAAUCAAUGAGUGUUUCGAUGGAGAACCUGAAAGUUUUGUUAAUAACAAAGGUAAUUAUAGAAUACCAUUUUUGAGAAAUCACCUUGUCAAUGCUACUAACAUACUUCAGGGUUGAAAUGCUGCUGUUCGGAUCACCAAGCUCCAAAACUGGUUCAUACUCUGGUGGCUUAUUCUUUUUCUUUUCUACAAUGUCAUCCAUCAGAUGAUGAAACUUGCUUUCAAUUUUAGUUCUAUUGCCUUUAUUUCGAACUUCUUCUUCAGGCGAGAAAUGAUAGAGUUCGAGGAUUGAACUCUAUGCUUUAAUCCUUUAAUUUCAUAUUUUGUAACAUUAAUUUCAUGUUGCAUUUCAGAUAAUGUAGGUUCUUUCUUAGCUAUUUUUUUUCCAGCUAUUCUAUCAACGAUUGUUUUGAAUCUAUAAGCUUCUAUUGCUUGUUUCUCACUAGGCUCAGGCUUUUCCUUUUCUUUUGCCAAAUCUAAAUAUUUUUUUUUCAAAACUUCUCUUUUCUCUAAAGGAUCUUCUAGCCUAUCGAUUAAGUCUAAAAUCAGAUUUUUUUUCUUUGGUGAUAACACAUAGAUUUAGCUUGCAAGCACAUUCAUUUUCUAACUCGGUGAUGCUAGCAUCUGUUGAUGAUGUAAAUAUCUCUUUAUCUUCAAGAAUUGCAACUUCAUUCUUGCUUUCUUCAGAAUCAGAUGAGUUUAACCUUAGUUGACAUAAUUGCCCUUUCAGACCCUCAUCUAGAUUGAGAUUGUUAAUUUUCUCUUUUAUUUGGCAUUGAGGUCUCAUGUGUCUAACUUUUUCAUGCUUGUAGGAAACAAGAGGUUUUUUUAUCUGGUCAUUCUCUCAUCUUUUUUUGUUUGCGAGACUAGAAUUUGUGCUUGCGAAACGACAUGUAAGGUUUAGAGGAUUUAUGUGGACUAUCUUCCGAGUAUUUUAUGGAAAAUCUUUUUGUUUUCCUAAAGGGUUUCCUUGAAGAAUAUUGACCUUUAGGUUCAAAACCAAAUUGUUUGUAGAAAUCUCCCAUUUCUUAUGAUCCUAAGGCUCUCUACUUAUCAGGCUGUUGUUUUAGCUUCAUAUCAUUACAAAGUAUUUUUUCAGCACAUAUUUUAGAGGUAAGUUCUCCACAGGUAUACCUGUCAUAAGGUAUAUUUCCUCCAAAUUUUACUCUUAUCCGACUUCGUACAUUUUCAUCUAAUAGAGCAGGUAGUCUAGAAAUAAACUUUUCUUUCCAGAAAUCAGCAUUACAAUCAGAUUUAAGGAAGACCUUGGCAUAGAAAACAUCUUUAUAUCACCUAAAAUGAGACAAAGCCAGGCAUUUUAAGUUCAUUAGGAGUUCUCUAGACCUAUCUUGUUGAAGCUCAGUAGAUCCAACAAAAAAGGUAAAUGGUGUAAAUUAGGGUAUUCACCACACCUUCUUGAGCUACUAUCUGCCCAUUAAUUUUUCUUACCUUUGUGGCAGCAAGAAUUUGUCUUUUUCCUUCUUCGCCUAGGUGAAAAUGUCACAAUCCACGAAGUUGUCCUAUAAAUCCUGCUACUAUUGCAUGAGCAAUGGCGUUAUCCGAAUUUCCUUAUAAUUUACUGGCAUAUGAGAAAAUCAUCAUGUGUCUCAUAGUAUUAAUUACUUAGUAAUAUGUUUGUCCAUCAAUGUUCCAUUCAACAAUUGAUCUUCUAUCAUACUAAACCUUUUCGCCCAAAUCAUUGUCUUCAAAUUGAACAGCUACAUAAGUUGGCCUAGGAUAAUAAUUUUUUAGGGAACUUUAACGAAAAGCUCUUGAUACUGUUCACUUUAACGAAAAACCAUAUUUUUACAUUAAAAAGUCAAUCAUGGUACUAUUCACUUUACCCUUUAUUUUGUCCUUAUCGUUAAAACUCAAAAUUUUCAAGUAUUUUUCAUUAGUUUUCCUAAUUUUUUAGGAUAGGUGUUCUUGUGAUUUUGUGUCCUUGUCUUAUCAUAUUCACCUGUGGGUCUAAGGUUGAUUCGGCAAAUUGCUUUUCCAAAUCAGCAAUUUGGGUUUCCGUAAUAACUGAGACAUUUGGCUCUAAUAGUUUUAUUGAGCUUAAUCUUUUUGCCAAAUGAUCAAUAAAGUUAUCAUUAUUUCCUAACUUAUAGUCCUUAAGAUCAGGAGAUGGUUUAAAAAUUGGUUGGUCGACCUUCUUCUUUUCUUCAGAAGAAUUGGAAGAUGUUCUUGGUUAUUUAGGGUUCCAAAUUCUAGACUUGAGAGAAUCAUUGGUCUUUAAUGAAUUCUCUAUCCUAGAGGCUUGUUGACCUAAAGAUUGAUGAAACAAGUUUGUUUAAAUAUUUUGCCAUAUCACAGCAGAAACUCUAAAGAGACUUUCUGUCCUCCAUCAGGGAUUUCUCUAUAAGGGGAGGCAAUUUUUCCUUUUGAAUUGAUCUGGAUGGACUUUUCUGGUUGAUGUAUCACUCUUUCUUUUUUUUCCUUCUAUUGUUGUAUAAGUCUUAAAUAGAUUAUCUAAAGUGCUUAUACAUUGAGUGUAUUCAGAAAAGUUGUAUUUCUUAGCACACCAUUCAUACCAAGGAAAGAUUCUUGUAUUAAUCCCAUUUUCUAUCAUGAAGGUGUAGUGAAGCUUUUUCAAGAAAGCUCUUCUUUCUGUGUUGUAGGUUUUAUCUAGUCAUUCUCUUUUCAAAGCAUUCUCUUCGCUGAAAUAAUCUUUCUCAAUAAAAUCAUAAUCUGGUUCAAAUUUUGUUAUCACACAGAUGUUAGAUUCAACAUCAUCCCACGUAAAAUCAGGCUGUAAGGAUAGAUUCCUAGAAUUCCUAGAGGGAGUUGUGGCUCCAGUAUUCUCGACCUUAUAGAACAGGUAAUGCACUUGUUCUUGGGUUUUUCUAAGGCCUUCUAGGAUAGUUCUUUCAUAGUCUUGCUCAUAUAAGCUUGAUUCAGGCGUUGUAUUCUUGAAAAAAAAUUGUUUUGAAAGGGUUUUGUCUAAGGGAAUCAACACUCAUUUGACCUAAACUUAGCCUGGUUAACCUAUCAUUGUUAAAAUGUAUUUCUACAUCUUCAUCAUCAUACUAGUUAAUAUGACUAGGUUCUCGGUUUUGGAUGGGUUGAAAAGGAAUUGCUUCAUGCAAUCUCCAUAUUUUAGGUCGAGUAACUUCAUUCUACUUAAUCAUCUUAGGUACCACAGUAUGUACAUUUCAUAACCUUGUAUGAAAUUCGGUAAAUCAUAGUGAGAUUCUGUGAUCCAGAGUUUAUAUCAUUCCUUUUGGUAUCUCCGCUUAAGGUAAGGGUUUUUAAGACUCCGGAGUCGGAUAAUGACACUAAAAAGUUCGGGUAACAAUUAAAAUACAUUGGCCCCUCACUUAAAAAAGACUCUACGAAUCCCAACAAGGAAUUAACAAAGUUUAUGUGACGUUUAUCCUGCAGACAGAGUAGAAUAAGGUAUCUAACCGUUAACCUCAAUACUCUGUCAGUCAAUCCUGUCAGCUUUCCCACCAACCCCCUUGUCUUUUAAAAGAUGCAAGAAUCCAAUUCACCAAACCCAAACCCAAUUGGAGGAGCAAUCCAACUCCAACACCACUACCUGCUCCACCCACCCCCAUGGCCGCCUUUUCCCUCCAGACAUCGACCUCCAGCAUUGCCCUUCCCAGUUUCGAAACCCGAAUCCCCGGAUCCGAUUUGGGUUCAAACCCAAAAUCCAUAUGUUUCCCUUGUCAGCCUCGUUUGCUUCCUCUCACGCGUCGGAGCAACAGUAAGAGUAGAUCAAGAGGAGGAGUUGUGAUGGCGGUGGCAGUGACUGGCAAUGACCAGUCCCAAGUGGAAGUCGACGUCUCUCUGAGCCCACGAGUCAACUCCGUCAAGCCUUCGAAGACAGUCGCCAUUACCGACCAGGCCACGGCUCUCGUGCAAGCCGGAGUGCCCGUCAUUCGAUUAGCUGCUGGCGAACCUGAUUUCGAUACCCCUUCCAUCGUAGCUGAGGUACCCUCUUCUUCUACAUUUUCAAUCCAUAUCCUUCAUGUUUUUUUUUUCUUUUUUUUUUAACAGGGCUAGCCUUGGCUUGCUAUUAUGUGGUUCAACUUCGCCUCACCUCUCACUCACAAGUGAAGGAAUACCGCUAGACCGGAGUGAUACGUGGCCUUCUUUGUGUUUGUUGUUGUUGUAAUCCCAAUUUUCAAUUGCGGAUGAUGGGUUGUUUUCAAUUUUUAAUUUGUUUUUUCGUUUUUAAAGGCGGGUAUCAAUGCGAUUCGCGAAGGCUUCACCAGGUACACACCAAAUGCAGGGACUUUGGAGCUGCGCCAAGCAAUUUGUCAUAAGCUCAAAGGUUCGGCUUUUUCGGUUUUUCUUUCUUGUUCUCAUUCUUGAAUGUUGAGAUAUAUGUUAUAUGUUAUAUGGUUUGAGUUGUAAGUAACGAUUCUGAUUUUUUUAGAGGAGAAUGGGAUCACUUACACACCGGAUCAGAUCGUAGUUAGCAAUGGAGCCAAGCAGAGCAUUGUUCAAGCUGUGCUUGCAGUUUGUUCCCCAGGGGAUGAGGUUACUUUCUAAAUUUUUAGUACUCAUAGUAUAAUGCAAUCAACAUUAGGCAUGGUAUCUUAAUACGAUAUGAAAUCAUUAUAUCAUACCGUGAUGUCCUUGAAUUUCAAUUCGGAAGCAUGUUAGUUUAGAGAGACCAAGUGUUGGCCCGAUAAUUAAGGAAUGUUCUUUAUCUUCUUUCUUCUUUUUGGGUGUAUAUGUUGGUGGUUAAUUUGCAUUCAAGUGAAUUCUUGGAAGGUGACACACAUUUACGGAUAAUCAUGUAACUCACAGGUUAUGAUUCCAGCUCCAUUUUGGGUGAGUUACCCUGAAAUGGCAAGGAUGGCCGAUGCAACUCCUGUGAUUCUUCCAACGAGCAUCUCCAAUGAUUUUCUCGUAGAUCCUAAACUUCUCGAAUCCAAACUCACUGAGAAGUCAAGACUGCUGAUUCUUUGUUCUCCAUCCAACCCCACAGGGUCUGUCUACCCCAAGAAUUUGCUUCAAGAGAUUGCUAAGAUUGUAGCAAAGCAUCCUAGGCUUCUGGUACCCUCACUGUACCUGAACUAAAAGACCUGUACUUAUUACCUGCACCUUAACAUUUGAAACCUGAACUUUCCGCUACUGUUUCAUUCAGGUUAUUUCUGAUGAAAUAUAUGAACACAUAAUUUAUGCUCCGGCAACGCAUACAAGCUUUGCAUCCUUGCCAGGCAUGUGGGAGAGGACUCUGACAAUCAAUGGGUUUUCUAAGGUAACCAUAUUGUUAACUCCGCAUAAAUUUAUACUCCUCUUCUGUAAAGGUGGCUUUUCCAUGAUUCUUGAUAAAUGGUGAAAAACAAAAAACCAAAGGCGGUAGGUUUGACGCUGAAGGUUGACAUUCAGAUGGUGGUACUUUUGUAGGCUUUUGCAAUGACUGGUUGGCGACUUGGAUAUAUUGCCGGGCCUAAACACUUUGUUGCGGCUUGUGGAAAGCUCCAGAGUCAGGUAUUUUGUACUUUAUGCAUCUUCCAAAUAUAUUUUUCCCAUCAUUUAACAUGUGAUGAUGGCACCUUUUUUACUAUUGUGUUAUUCAAAUAUACUUCCUGUUAGCUUUUGGCAUUCGUUAUCAGUUUUCGGUUGGAUAAAACACUUUCUUGUAAACACUAAAAGGAAAAAAAGAAAAUAUAUGUGCCCUUCAACACUUAGGAAAAUUGGUAGUAUCUGAGAUGUACCUUCGGGAAAAUAUUGAAGGUAAUGUUAGUUGUUCAAACAGAUUCCUGAUUGAUGUUGCUUGGCAUUGUAAAUGCAAGUUCAUUACUAGGUUGAAAUAUUAAACAUGGAGCUAGUGGUGGAAGUUCUAAUCUUUAGUUGAAGUUUGGAAUUAUGGGGAAGUAUGUGUUGUAAAGUACAGUAAGAGGUAUCAUGCAUGCAGUUAAACCGAUACCUUAAUGGGCAGACCACUAGUUUAACAGUUACCUUACAUGAAGUUAAACUGACAGUCUAACAUGUUUUGAAUGUUAUUGAUGGUCAACCACAUUAAAGUAACUAAACACAAUUAUAGUUGAGAGACAGUUCUUAAGGAGCAGAGAGCACCAAGGAUAUGUUGC